AAAGCUUUAAGUUAAAUUAAACUAUUAACCUUCAAAGUUAAAAAUGCAGCAACUGCUGUAAGCUUUA
rnacentral:tRNA from 1 species